rnacentral:misc_RNA from 1 species
UUUCCGUAGGUGAACCUGCGGAAGGAUCGUUAAUAAAUGGUCUACGUUUUUUAAGUAGACGCUUAAUAAUCCUACCCUUUGUGAAUUUGUUUGUUUGAAAUAAUUUUUUUUAAAAUUAUUGAAUGUCUUUCCCUGUUGAAUUGGUUGUCUUUAAUGGCAAGUGAUUCGCAGGGGAGUGUCAAUAAUUUUUAAAAAGACCUUUUUUAAAAUUAAACUUUUUGUAUUCAUUUGUCUAAAAAUUAUUUUUAUAAUAUAAAAACAACUUUUGACAAUGGAUCUCUUGGUUCUCGCAACGAUGAAGAACGCAGCAAAAUGCGAUAAGUAGUGUGAAUUGCAGAAUACGUGAAUCAUCGAAUCUUCGAACGCAUAUUGCACUUUUUUAGUUUACUAAAAAAGUAUGUCUGUUUGAGUAUCAGUAAAAUAUUCUCAUAAAAAACAUUGCUUUUUAUGGUUAUGAGUGUUUUACAACGAUACAAGUUGUUCCACUUUAAAUUUUUUUAAAAUUUGAAUUUUUCUAAUUUUAAAAUAAAAUUGGAUAAAAUUUUCCCGUAAAAAGGAAUAACCUAAACAAUUUUAAUUUUUGAUUAGAAAAUCCAAACUAAAAGGAAAAUUUAACUAAAUAACUUGAUCUCAAAUCAGAUAAGAGUACCCGCUGAACUUAAGCAUAUCAAUAAGCGGAGGAAAAGAAACUAACAAGGAUUCCCUUAGUAACGGCGAGUGAAGCGGGAAGAGCUCAAAUUUGAAAUCUUCAAGGUUUUACCUUGACGAAUUGUAGUUUAAAGAAGUGUUUUCUGUUGAAGUUUUGGUAAAAGUUCUUUGGAAUAGGACAUCAUAGAGGGUGAGAAUCCCGUAUUUGACCAUUAUUUCAGCUGUGUGAUACACUUUCAAAGAGUCGGAUUGUUUGGGAAUGCAGUCCAAAAUGGGUGGUAAAUUUCAUCUAAAGCUAAAUAUUGGCGAGAGACCGAUAGCGAACAAGUACCGUGAGGGAAAGAUGAAAAGAACUUUGAAAAGAGAGUUAAACAGUACGUGAAAUUGUCAAAAGGGAAGCGUUUGACACCAGUGUUGUUUUCUCGAAAAUCAAUUAAAAAAAGUUGGAUUUUGUGUUGUAUUGACCUUAACAGCUUGCUUCACUCUUUUCCUGCUUUUUUUAAUGCACUUUUCGUUUAACAAGUCAACAUCAGUUUCUUUUGUUGUAAAAGGGUCAUUGGAAGGUGGCUUUCUCUUCGGAGAAAGUGUUUAUAGCCUUUGAUCUCUGCAAUCGGAGAGACUGAGGUCUGCAGCGUAGAUCCUUCGGGGUUAGAUACAUUUGUGCUAAGCUACAGCUUUUCAUAGACAACUUGUUGACUAUGUUUAGUCUUGUGACUUACCCGCUUAUGCUAUUUUACCUACGCUUAGGAUGUUGAA